rnacentral:miRNA from 1 species
AUUUAUUGAUUUGAUGAUGAUGAUGAUGAUCAUCAUCAUCAUCAUCAUCAUCAUUU